rnacentral:lncRNA from 1 species
UAAAGUUUAAAUUAAAGUUUCAGUUAAAAUGGAGAGAAGAUGGAGAGAAACUGCAGUAAGUACUGUUGGAGUACUCACUAACUACUGUAAGAUGAGUACAGUACAGUACUGCCGCAAGAGGAGUACAAUACUCCAUUAACUCAUUGCAAAUUUAACCAAAAACUAUAGUAGCACAGAUGUUGGUGAGGAAACAACAAUACUAUUGCAAAAGGAGUAGUAAAAUCAGUCCUACGCUUAACCCUACUAAGCUCACAUAUGUUGGAGUACAGUAGAAAGAGCCUCACUUAAUUCCAAACAAGACUACAAAACAUGCAAUUCCACAUCGGACACACAGAUGAUACUCCUCCGAAUGAAUGACUGAAGCAGCAGGUGUCGGGCACCAUGAGCACGGCGUCAGCGUCGGGCACCACAAGCACCACUGUCAGCGUCACCCUGCAAGCACAACAGAGGACUGGAACUCUGAAUCGGACGACAACUGAAGCAAAACAAUCAACCAUCGAUAGUAAACCUCUGAAGAAAUGUUGGAUUGUUGUUGCUGCUUGGUUGAUUACAGAGAGCUCGAUAGGAAAUUAAGGCCUCACAUUUGACAUUAGCAUCCGUAACAUUUGCUAGCACUGCUCCUAGCAGUACACAAGAUCACAAGAAUCUCCAUUUGCUAGCACUACUCCUAGCACUACUCCAAAAAUCUGACAUUAAGUUUUCACGGAGAAGAGACAGGAAGAGGAAGAGAGAGAAAUACCUCAAGGAGUCAUCAUCCAUGGAUGCACAGCCGGGCCACCACGUCCAUCCUCUCACCACCUGACGCAACAACUCCUCCUCAAGGAGUCACUCAUGGAGGCCGCACGCGAGGAGGACGGCAGUGGCCGCGGCGACGAC